GAAGGAACAAUAUCUCAAGAAGAAACAGAUCAUUAUUGAUGACAAUCAAGAUCUUAUUUCUGAGAAAGACAAAGUUAUAGCCAAACUGACAUUAAAUGAGAAACAGAUCAUUACUGACCUUAAAGAAAAGGAGUU